rnacentral:lncRNA from 1 species
GUCGGAUUCCAUGGCGGUCGGAGAUUCGGUCGAUUCCCUUUCAUUUCUUACUGCAGCUGUAUGGAUAUAUAUAUAUACAUCUCUUCUUGAAGAUGAAGAGUACCACGAAAUAUUCCUAUCUUCUACCUUCUUGUCUCAAACUUCUAUGUUGUGAGUGGUUUCGUGACCUAUGUGAGUGAGGGUAACAGAUCUGGGGAAACACUGUGUGUGUGAGUUCGAUUCCUUGGGGUUUUGGGAUGGGUUGAGACGACAUUCGGAGUGAGGCUGAGAUCUAAGCAUUCGGGUGAAGUUUUGACGGUUGGGUGUGAUCUGUGAGCUUGACACCGGGUGUGUGCUGGCAGCCGCUGACUGGACUCCAGACGUGGACACGGGAAACGAGGACUGAGCCGUUGUUGUGUCAUCUUCUCCACCGGAGUUGAAAACGGGCAGAUUUUCAGAUCUGC